rnacentral:rRNA from 1 species
UACAGAGGUCUCAAGCGUUGUUCGGAUUCAUUGGGCGUAAAGGGCGCGUAGGCGGCGGGGUCAGUCGGGUGUGAAAUCUCAGAGCUCAACUCUGAAACUGCACUCGAUACUGCUCUGCUUGAGGACUGGAGAGGAGACUGGAAUUCACGGUGUAGCAGUGAAAUGCGUAGAUAUCGUGAGGAAGACCAGUGGCGAAGGCGGGUCUCUGGACAGUUCCUGACGCUGAGGCGCGAAGGCCAGGGGAGCAAACGGG